CCUACGGGUGGCAGCAGUGAGGAAUAUUGGCCAAUGGACGCAAGUCUGAACCAGCCAUGCCGCGUGCAGGAAGACGGCUCUAUGAGUUGUAAACUGCUUUUGUACGGGGGUAAACGCAGAUACGCGUAUCUGUCUGAAAGUAUCGUACGAAUAAGGAUCGGCUAACUCCGUGCCAGCAGCCGCGGUAAUACGGAGGAUUCAAGCGUUAUCCGGAUUUAUUGGGUUUAAAGGGUGCGUAGGCGGUCGGAUAAGUUAGAGGUGAAAUCCCGAGGCUCAACUUCGGAAUUGCCUGUGAUACUGUUCGGCUAGAGAGUAGUUGCGGUAGGCGGAAUGUAUGGUGUAGCGGUGAAAUGCUUAGAGAUCAUACAGAACACCGAUUGCGAAGGCAGCAUACCGGCGCCAAACUGACGCUGAGGCACGAAAGCGUGGGGAGCAAACAGGAUUAGAUACCCUGGUAGUC
rnacentral:rRNA from 1 species